AUAGCGUAUAUUAAAGUUGUUGCAGUUAAAAAGCUCGUAGUUGAACUUUAGCCUCUUGGCCGGGCUGUCUGCCUCACGGUAUGUACUGUCUGGCUGGGGCUUACCUUCUGGUGAGCUUGCAUGCCGUUUAUUCGGUGUGUGAGGGAACCAGGACUUUUACCUUGAGAAAAUUAGAGUGUUCAAAGCAGGCAAAUGCCCGAAUACAUUAGCAUGGCAUAAUGGAAUAGGACGUGCGGUUCUAUUUUGUUGGUUUCUAGAGUCGCCGUAAUGAUUAAUAGGGAUAGUCGGGGGCAUCCGUAUUCAAUUGUCAGAGGUGAAAUUCUUGGAUUUAUUGAAGACGAACUACUG
rnacentral:rRNA from 1 species